rnacentral:rRNA from 1 species
UACGUAGGGGGCAAGCGUUGUCCGGAUUUAUUGGGCGUAAAGAGCGUGUAGGCGGCCACACAGGUCAGCUGUGAAAACUCGAGGCUCAACCUCGAGACGUCGGUUGAAACCGUAUGGCUAGAGUCCGGAAGAGGAGAGUGGAAUUCCCGGUGUAGCGGUGAAAUGCGCAGAUAUUGGGAGGAACACCGGUGGCGAAGGCGGCCCCCUGGACCGGUACUGACGCUGAGGCGCGAAAGCGUGGGUAGCAAACGGG